AAAACACUAGUGAACGCUGGCGGUAGGCCUAACACAUGCAAGUCGAACGGCAGCACAGGAGAGCUUGCUCUCUGGGUGGCGAGUGGCGGACGGGUGAGGAAUGCAUCGGAAUCUACUCUAUCGUGGGGGAUAACGUAGGGAAACUUACGCUAAUACCGCAUACGACCUACGGGUGAAAGCAGGGGAUCUUCGGACCUUGCGCGAUUGAAUGAGCCGAUGCCCGAUUAGCUAGUUGGCGGGGUAAGAGCCCACCAAGGCGACGAUCGGUAGCUGGUCUGAGAGGAUGAUCAGCCACACUGGAACUGAGACACGGUCCAG
rnacentral:rRNA from 1 species